rnacentral:rRNA from 1 species
AGAGUUUGAUCCUGGCUCAGGAUGAACGCUAGCGGCAGGCUUAACACAUGCAAGUCGAGGGGCAGCAUAAUGGAUAGCAAUAUCUAUGGUGGCGACCGGCGCACGGGUGCGUAACGCGUAUGCAACCUACCUUUAACAGGGGGAUAACACUGAGAAAUUGGUACUAAUACCCCAUAAUAUCAUAGAAGGCAUCUUUUAUGGUUGAAAAUUCCGAUGGUUAGAGAUGGGCAUGCGUUGUAUUAGCUAGUUGGUGGGGUAACGGCUCACCAAGGCGACGAUACAUAGGGGGACUGAGAGGUUAACCCCCCACACUGGUACUGAGACACGGACCAGACUCCUACGGGAGGCAGCAGUGAGGAAUAUUGGUCAAUGGACGCAAGUCUGAACCAGCCAUGCCGCGUGCAGGAUGACGGCUCUAUGAGUUGUAAACUGCUUUUGUACGAGGGUAAACGCAGAUACGUGUAUCUGUCUGAAAGUAUCGUACGAAUAAGGAUCGGCUAACUCCGUGCCAGCAGCCGCGGUAAUACGGAGGAUUCAAGCGUUAUCCGGAUUUAUUGGGUUUAAAGGGUGCGUAGGCGGUUUGAUAAGUUAGAGGUGAAAUUUCGGGGCUCAACCCUGAACGUGCCUCUAAUACUGUUGAGCUAGAGAGUAGUUGCGGUAGGCGGAAUGUAUGGUGUAGCGGUGAAAUGCUUAGAGAUCAUACAGAACACCGAUUGCGAAGGCAGCUUACCAAACUAUAUCUGACGUUGAGGCACGAAAGCGUGGGGAGCAAACAGGAUUAGAUACCCUGGUAGUCCACGCAGUAAACGAUGAUAACUCGCUGUCGGCGAUACACAGUCGGUGGCUAAGCGAAAGCGAUAAGUUAUCCACCUGGGGAGUACGUUCGCAAGAAUGAAACUCAAAGGAAUUGACGGGGGCCCGCACAAGCGGAGGAACAUGUG